GACCUCGGGAGCUCACUGGUGCUAUUGACCUUAUUAGUCAUUACAAACUGUUGGUACACCAUGAUUUCUUCUGCAAAAGGGUAUUGCCUCAGUCAAUUUCGGACACGCAUUAUCUGCACAAUGUUGUUGGUGAUACUGAAAUUCGAAAAGGAGAAGGGAUGGAGCUAGAUCAACUCUUUCAGAAUGCUUCAUACUUGAGGGAGCCAUCUACUAUACAGCCAUUUGAUCUAGACACCCUUGGUCAGGCAUUUCAAUUGCAAGAAACAGCUCCCAUUGAUUUGUCCUCUGCAGAUAAGGGGAUUCCUACUAGUAGUGGGAAGUCAAAAGAGUCAAAGAAUAAAUCAAAAAAACACAAGAAGCACAAGGAGAAGGAUAAGGAAAAGGACAAGGAGCAUAAGAAGCAUAAACAUCGCCACAAAGACAAGAGCAAAGAUAAAGAUAAAGAAAAGAAAAAGGAGAAGAGUGGGCAUCAUGAUUCCGGUGGUGACCACUCAAAGAAACAUCAUGACAAGAAAAGAAAGCUCGAGGGUAGUGAGGAUAUCACUGACGCUCACAAGCACAAGAAAAGUAAGCAUAAGAGUACCAAGGAUGAAGUUGGAGGAUAAACUUUGUCCGCAGUCUGUAUUUUGAUUAUUAAUUUUUUUGCUUUCAUCUUCCAUGGGAACUUCUGAGUUUUUGCUUGAAGGAUUCUCCAAUUUGAAGCCAAAGCUAUAAGGUGAUGAAAAUUCAUUGUUUUGAGCACUACAAGUUUCAAGGGACAAUAAGCUGUCUGAAAGGAAGAUGUGAGGUACCUGCUCUUACAUUUUCUUAAAUUAACUCCAUUGAUUUCAGUCACCAAUAAUUUGCGAGCAACCAAAUGCAAAAAAUAUAUAUUAAUGGGUUAUUUUUCUUAGGAUUGUAAGAGAAUAGGGAAAAUUGAAGUGUUUUUUUAUGAAUUGCAGGUUCUUACUAUUUUUAGCUGUAAAAUUAAGAAAGAAUGAUCAUGUAGCAAAUAGUUCAUUUUGAUAUAUAUAUAUUUUUUAUAAAAUUUAGUUUUCUCAUUUUAGCUGAAAAUUUUGUGUCCCUUUGGGCUUUUAUUCAAUGAAGAUUCACCAGUUUGUUGGUGAGCUUAUUAGCUGUGUAGAUUUUUCUUUGUAAAGGAGGGGCAUUUGCAGGUGUUUUUAUUGAAGCCUUGUAAUUGCUGGAGCAUCAUUAAAUGUCUUAUUUUUGUUAUUAAGUUAUAAAUCCCAUGGACAUAUCUUCUUUAAUGGUAA